rnacentral:rRNA from 1 species
UAUCGGAUUGAUACUAGGCCAUGCGAGUCAUUGCAGUAAUGCAAGAGCAGACGGCUCAGUAACGCGUAGUCAACCUACCCUAUGGACGGGAAUAACCUCGGGAAACUGAGUAUAAUGCCCGAUAGAACACUAUUCCUGGAAUGGUUUGUGUUCCAAAUGAUUUAUCGCCGUAGGAUGGGACUGCGGCCUAUCAGUUUGUUGGUGAGGUAAUGGCCCACCAAGACUAUUACAGGUACGGGCUCUGAGAGGAGUAGCCCGGAGAUGGGUACUGAGACACGGACCCAGGCCCUAUGGGGCGCAGCAGGCGAGAAAACUUUGCAAUGUGCGAAAGCACGACAAGGUUAAUCCGAGUGGUUUGUGCUAAACGAACCUUUUGACAGUCCUAGAAACACUGUUGAAUAAGGGGUGGGCAAGUUCUGGUGUCAGCCGCCGCGGUAAAACCAGCACCUCAAGUGGUCAGGAUGAUUAUUGGGCCUAAAGCAUCCGUAGCCGGCUCUGUAAGUUUUCGGUUAAAUCUGUACGCUCAACGUACAGGCUGCCGGGAAUACUGCAGAGCUAGGGAGUGGGAGAGGUAGACGGUACUCGGUAGGAAGGGGUAAAAUCCUUUGAUCUAUUGAUGACCACCUGUGGCGAAGGCGGUCUACCAGAACACGUCCGACGGUGAGGGAUGAAAGCUGGGGGAGCAAACCGGAUUAGAUACCCGGGUAGUCCCAGCUGUAAACUAUGCAAACUCAGUGAUGCAUUGGCUUGUGGCCAAUGCAGUGCUGCAGGGAAGCCGUUAAGUUUGCCGCCUGGGAAGUACGUACGCAAGUAUGAAACUUAAAGGAAUUGGCGGGGGAGCACCACAAGGGGUGAAGCCUGCGGUUCAAUUGGAGUC